GCAGCUAACGCAACAACCGAUGCGCCACAUACUGUCGCCCCCCACCACUCCUCUCCCGACCCCUAUUUAGCUAUCCCAAGCGGCCAUAGUCGAGCGGCUAGUUCUACGUCGUUAAAUAAACGUUUGGUAUCUUGCUUUCUUCCCCUUCUUCCUCCUACUCCCCCUCUGCCCCGCUCUGACUCCUCUUUUUAUCCUUUCGCUGGAAACUUCAAUGCGUCCUCUCUCUCUCUCUCUCUUUCUUUCUUUCUUUUUGCCUCCAUCUUUCUUUUUCUUUCUAGCGAGGGAGAGAAGAGAACACGAGCGCGCAACAUGCAGUGAGCCGUAUACAAAGGUCUGAUUGCUGGACACCCGGUGAAAUAUGCCAGUCUCCACCAAUAACCGAAUGAGAAGAGAGUUAUAAGAGCGGUAAUCCGAGAGGGGAAGGAUACGAGGAUGAAAAGGGGGAGGAGGAGGAGGAGGAGGAAGAGGAAGAAAAAAGAAACUAAAAGAAACGAUACUGGAGGAGAGAAUGGUGGUGAUGGCGAAAAGAGGCAAUGCUGUGUGCAUCGGACGGUGAUAUUACACCGAUGACGGCACCCUUUCCUUUCCUUUCCUUUCCUUUCCUUUUCUUUCCUUUCUUUUCUUUCUUUCCUUCCUUCUCUUAUAAACUUUAUGAAAUAUCAACACACUUUCUCUCUUAUCCUUGUCUCUAUAUUAAACUUUUGAUCAGGAAAAUAAACAUCAUUGGUUAAUGAACUGUUUCCAUUUAUAUCGCAACGUUUAAUGCUCCGCGUAAUUGGUGUGUACAUAUAUAUAAGAUAUUUAAAAAUAAUAAACAUCUCUUUGACUUU